UACGUAGGGUGCAAGCGUUGUCCGGAAUUAUUGGGCUUAAAGAGCUCGUAGGCGGUUUGUCGCGUCUGCUGUGAAAACCCGAGGCUCAACCUCGGGCCUGCAGUGGGUACGGGCAGACUAGAGUGCGGUAGGGGAGAUUGGAAUUCCUGGUGUAGCGGUGGAAUGCGCAGAUAUCAGGAGGAACACCAAUGGCGAAGGCAGAUCUCUGGGCCGUAACUGACGCUGAGGAGCGAAAGCAUGGGGAGCGAACAGG
rnacentral:rRNA from 1 species